GAACUAUCUCAAAUCUUUCUAUUUAUCAGUGAAAACUUUACAACAUUCUUUGUAAUUCAUUAUAUAUACAUUUGCGACAUACUCAAUGUAUGUGUUAAUUUUACAAAAAUACACCCAAAAUUGUUGCACAUAUAAAAAUGAAGCAGAUUUUUUUUCCAUGUAUGGUUAUAUAUAUAAUAUACAGAGUGGUCCAAUAGUCUGAAUCCAUAAAAAUUUCUUUUUAUAUACAUUUUUCUUAUGUAACAAUCAUGGUUUAGCCAGAACUAUUCUGUGAAAGUAUAACCAGUCUGUAUGUUUUUGACAAUAAUGUUACCAGAGAAGCAUACAUCAAUAUAUUACAAUCUUUUUUUUUAAAAAGAGAAUUGGAUGACAUUUCUGUUAGAAUAGUGUAAAAUAUUUUUACAACGUGAUACCCAAGUACAUUCUUUUUUUUCAAUUUGGUUGAGGAAUUAUUUAUAUGAAACUUUUUCAAAAACAUAGAUUGUGAAAAAAAAAUCUUGUUGAAUGACCAAUUUGAUUUUCCAGACAUGAUGGCAUAUGUGUGAGUGUGGGUCAUCAGUAAUCUAUAUGAAUCAAUCUGAAACAAUCAAUGUAUUAAAGAAAGCAAUCAUACUGACGUGUGAUAGUGCUACAGAUAUUCCCGAGUGAGAAUUCAAAAUUCUUGAAGUGAAAUCAAUGAAAUCAAAUAGGAUAUGUGUUGAAGGCCACCAGUUUGAACAAAUUUUUGACAUUUAAAUAAAGUUGUCUUUCCACAGAGCCAACAUUUUCAGAUAUCUUUGUUUGUUUUUUUUAAAUAUAUAAUUGUAUUACAUUUGAUUGAUUCUAGUUUCAGCUCACGAGCUGUGGCCAUGCUGGGGCACCACCAUUUGCAUGCAUAUAUAUAUAUAUAUGUGUGUGAGUGUAAAUAUGUAUGUAUGUAUGUAUAUAACGGGAAGCUUUAUGAAAAUAAAGAAAAGACGAAGGCAGGUGGAAUACAAACAAACGAUUGUAUUAGUAUGGCGCUCAGGAAUAUAAAUAAAACAAGUCUUUUACGUUUCGAGCCUACGCUCUUCAACAGAAAGAUACACAGAAAAGAAACACAGAAAGAAACCAGGAGAGAAAAAAAAUGCGUGCAGAGGCUAGCGAAUCAACAUAUAUAUGUAUAUAUAUGUAUGUGUG
rnacentral:lncRNA from 1 species